rnacentral:rRNA from 1 species
CGUUAGCGGCGGACGGGUGAGUAACACGUAGGUAACCUACCUAUAAGACUGGGAUAACUUCGGGAAACCGGAGCUAAUACCGGAUAAUAUUUCGAACCGCAUGGUUCGAUAGUGAAAGAUGGCUUUGCUAUCACUUAUAGAUGGACCUUCGCCGUAUUAGCUAGUUGGUAAGGUAACGGCUUACCAAGGCAACGAUACGUAGCCGACCUGAGAGGGUGAUCGGCCACACUGGAACUGAGACACGGUCCAG